ensembl:snRNA U6 U6 spliceosomal RNA
GAGCUCACUUCGACAGCACAUAUACUAAAAUUGGAACGAUACCAAGAAGAUUAGCAUGGCCCCUGCGCAAGGGUGACACGCAAAUUUGUGAAGCGUUCCAUGUUUUU